rnacentral:piRNA from 1 species
UACUAUUUAUUGUCAAAGGGUCAGAACU